rnacentral:rRNA from 1 species
CAGUAGCCGCGGUAAUACGAAGGGGGCUAGCGUUGUUCGGACUUACUGGGCGUAAAGGGCGCGUAGGCGGACUGAUAAGUCAGGGGUGAAAUCCCAAGGCUCAACCUUGGAACUGCCUUUGAUACUGUUCGUCUUGAGUUCGAGAGAGGUAAGUGGAACUGCGAGUGUAGAGGUGUAAUUCGUAGAUAUUCGCAAGAACACCAGUGGCGAAGGCGGCUUACUGGCUCGAUACUGACGCUGAGGCGCGAAAGCGUGGGGAGCAAACAGGAUUAGAUACCCCUGUAGUCCCUGUCUCUUAUAA